rnacentral:rRNA from 1 species
UCAAGCGAAUAAGGGUCCAUGGUGGAUGCCUAGGAACUGUCUGGCGAAGAAGGCCGUGGUAAGCUGCGAAAAGCAACGGGGAGGAGCACACAUCCUGUGAUCCGUUGAUUGCCGAAUGGGGUAACCCGGCUGGAGUGAUGUCCAGUCAUUCAUGCCUGAAUAUAUAGGGUAUGGAAGCUAUACCCAGGGAACUGAACCAUCUAAGUACCUGGAGGAAGAGAAAUCAACCGAGAUUCCCAAAGUAGCGGCGAGCGAAAUGGGAAGAGCCCAAACCGAUAUAGUGUAAGCAGUGUUGCGUUGCUAUGUCGGGGUUGUAGGGUUAUCGAGAGCAGUUAGCACUAACUGCUGCAGAGUCACAAACGCACAUUAUAGCGGAACGCUACUGGAAAGAGCGACCAAAGAGGGUGAUAGUCCCGUAUGCGAAAUAGUGUGCACUCUGUUGGAUAAUACCUGAGUACGGCGGGACACGAGAAAUCCUGCUGGAAUCUGGGGAGACCACUCUCCAAGGCUAAAUACAAGACAGUUACCGAUAGUGAAGCAGUACCGUGAGGGAAAGGUGAAAAGAACCCCGGCGAGGGGAGUGAAAUAGAACCUGAAACCAUGGACUUACAAGCGGUCGGAGCCCUUUCGGGGGUGACGGCGUGCCUUUUGUAGAAUGGGCCUGCGAGUUACUGUGCGAAGCAAGGUUAAGGAAUUGUAGUUCCGGAGCCGGAGGGAAACCGAGUCUGAACAGGGCAAAUGAGUUUCGUGCAGUAGACCCGAAGCCGGGUGAUCUAUUUAUGGCCAGGUUGAAGCUUUGGUAAAACAAAGUGAAGGACCGAACCCUAGUCUGUUAAAAAAGGCAGGGAUGAGCUGUGAAUAGGAGUGAAAGGCUAAACAAACCCGGAGAUAGCUGGUUUUCGUCGAAAUAGCUUUAGGGCUAGCCUCAUAUAAAUCUUGCGGAGGUAGAGCACUGAAUGGACUAGGGCCUGUCACAGGGUACCAAACCCAAUCAAACUCCGAAUGCCGUAAGACAACAUAUGGGAGUCAGACCAUGGGGGAAAAGCUUCAUGGUCAAAAGGGAAACAGCCCAGACCGUCGGCUAAGGUUCCAAAACAAUGCUCAGUGGAAAAGGAAGUGCGAUUGCAAAGACAGCCAGGAGGUUGGCUUAGAAGCAGCCAUCCCUUAAAAGAGUGCGUAAUAGCUCACUGGUCGAGUAGUCGUGCGCCGAUAAUGUAACGGAGCUAAGCAUUGUACCGAAGCUGCGGGUCAGUCGUUUACGACUGGCGGUAGACGAACGUUCUGUAGGCCGUUGAAGGUGUUCUGAGAGGAAUGCUGGAGGUAUCAGAAGCGAGAAUGCAGGCAUGAGUAACGAAAAGAGGGGUGAGAUCCCCCUCCGCCGAAAGCCUAAGGUUUCCUGGGUAAAGGUCAUCUUCCCAGGGUUAGUCGGCCCCUAAGGAGAGGCAGAAAUGCGUAUCCGAUGGGAAACGGGUUCAUAUUCCCGUACCUUUGUAUGUUUCGAAGGGAAGACGCAUGAGGUGAAGCCCGGCCGGGCGACGGUUGUCCCGGUCGAAGCAGCAAGCUGUUGAAGAUGAUAGGCAAAUCCGUCAUCUGAGGUGAGCUGUGAACGCGAGCGGAGCUACGGCAAAGCGAAGCGGGUGUAGUCAAGGUGCCAAGAAACACUCUCUAAGGUUAGGCAUACAAAGACCGUACCGCAAACCGACACAGGUAGGCGAGAUGAGUAUUCUCAGGCGCUCGGGAGAACUCGCGUUAAGGAACUCGGCAAAAUGCAUACGUAACUUCGGGAUAAGUAUGGCCUGCGCUGGAUCUUUACUGAUUUAGAGCAGGUUGCAGUGAAAUGGCCAAAGCGACUGUUUACCAAAAACACAGGUCUCUGCGAAAUCGUAAGAUGACGUAUAGGGACUGACACCUGCCCGGUGCCGGAAGGUUAAGAGGAGCGGUUAGUCUUCGGACGAAGCUGUGAAUUGAAGCCCCGGUAAACGGCGGCCGUAACUAUAACGGUCCUAAGGUAGCGAAAUUCCUUGUCGGGUAAGUUCCGACCCGCACGAAUGGUGUAACGACUUUGGCACUGUCUCAACGCGAGACCCGGUGAAAUUGAAGUAUCGGUGAAGAUGCCGAUUACCUGUGGUUAGACGGAAAGACCCCGUGAACCUUUACUGCAGCUUAGCAUUGAAACUUGGCUUUACAUGUGUAGGAUAGGUGGGAGACUACGAACUGUGCGCGCUAGUGUGCAGGGAGUCGUUGGUGAAAUACCACCCUUGUACGGUUAGGUUUCUAACGCGCACCAUGAAGCUGGUGUGUGGACAAUGUUAGGUGGGCGGUUUGACUGGGGCGGUCGCCUCCUAAAGAGUAACGGAGGCGCGCGAAGGUUCCCUUGCGCUGGUUGGAAAUCAGCGUGAAAGUGCAAAGGCAUAAGGGAGCUUGACUGCGAGACGUACAUGUCGAGCAGGUACGAAAGUAGGUCUUAGUGAUCUGGCCGUGGCGUGUGGAAGCGCGGUCACUUAACGGACAAAAGGUACUCCGGGGAUAACAGGCUGAUUUUGCCCAAGAGUUCAUAUCGACGGCAAAGUUUGGCACCUCGAUGUCGGCUCAUCGCAUCCUGGGGCUGGAGCAGGUCCCAAGGGUAUGGCUGUUCGCCAUUUAAAGCGGUACGUGAGCUGGGUUCAGAACGUCGCGAGACAGUUCGGUCCCUAUCUGCCACAGGCGUUGGAUGUUUGAGGGGAUCUGCCUUCAGUACGAGAGGACCGAGGUGGACAAACCUCUGGUGUACCAGUUAUCGUGCCAACGGUAAGUGCUGGGUAGCCAAGUUUGGACGGGAUAACCGCUGAAAGCAUCUAAGCGGGAAGCCUUCCUCAAGAUGAGACAUCCCUGAGUCUUAAAGACUCCUAAAGGAACCAGAGAGAUUAUCUGGUUGAUAGGCUGGCGGUGUAAGUGCAGUAAUGUAUUCAGCCGACCAGUACUAAUUUUCCGUGAGGCUUGACCAU